CGUAGAGAAAUCGAGUCUUAAUAGGGCGUUUAGUUGCUGGGUAUAGACCCGAAACCAGGCGAUCUAUCCAUGAGCAGGUUGAAGGUUGGGUAACACUAACUGGAGGACCGAACCCACUGUCGUUGAAAAGCCAGGGGAUGACUUGUGGAUAGGGGUGAAAGGCUAAUCAAGCCUGGUGAUAGCUGGUUCUCCCCGAAAGCUAUUUAGGUAGCGCCUCGGACGAAUACCAUAGGGGGUAGAGCACUGUUUCGGCUAGGGGGUCAUCCCGACUUACCAAACCGAUGCAAACUCCGAAUACCUAUGAGUACUAUCCGGGAGACAGACUGCGGGUGCUAACGUCCGUAGUCAAGAGGAAAACAAUCCAGACCGCCAGCUAAGGCCCCAAAAUCAUAGUUAAGUGGGAAACGAUGUGGGAAGGCAUAGACAGCUAGGAGGUUGGCUUAGAAGCAGCCACCCUUUAAAGAAAGCGUAAUAGCUCACUAGUCGAGUCGGCCUGCGCGGAAGAUGUAACGGGGCUAAAACUAUGUGCCGAAGCUGCGGAUGUAUACUUUGUAUACGUGGUAGGGGAGCGUUCUGUAAGCCGAUGAAGGUGUGUUGAGAAGCAUGCUGGAGGUAUCAGAAGUGCGAAUGCUGACGUGAGUAACGACAAAACGGGUGAAAAACCCGUUCGCCGAAAGACCAAGGGUUCCAGUCCAACGUUAAUCGGGGCUGGGUGAGUCGACCCCUAAGGCGAGGCCGAAAGGCGUAGUCGAUGGGAAAAUGGUUAAUAUUCCAUUACUUCUGUGUAAUGCGAUGAGAGGACGGAGAAGGCUAAAUCAGCCUGGCGUUGGUUGUCCAGGUGAAAGGAUGUAGGCAUGUAUCUUAGGCAAAUCCGGGGUACUCUAUGCUGAGAUC
rnacentral:rRNA from 1 species